rnacentral:rRNA from 1 species
GACGAACGCUGGCGGCGCGCCUAACACAUGCAAGUCGAACGGAACUUGUAAUCGGAAGCUUUCGGGUGGAAGAUUAUGAUGUUUAGUGGCGAACGGGUGAGUAACACGUGAAUAACCUACCCUGGAGUGGGGGACAACAUUUGGAAACAGAUGCUAAUACCGCAUAAGACCACGGAACCGCAUGGUUCUGAGGCCAAAGGAGCAAUUCGCUCUGGGAUGGAUUCGCGCCUGAUUAGAUAGUUGGUGGGGUAAUGGCCUACCAAGUCGACGAUCAGUAGCCGGACUGAGAGGUUGAACGGCCACAUUGGGACUGAGACACGGCCCAGACUCCUACGGGAGGCAGCAGUGAGGAAUAUUGCACAAUGGACGAAAGUCUGAUGCAGCGACGCCGCGUGAGGGAAGAAGGUUUUCGGAUUGUAAACCUCUGUCUUCGGGGACGAUAAUGACGGUACCCGAGGAGGAAGCCACGGCUAACUACGUGCCAGCCGCCGCAGUAAAAC